rnacentral:rRNA from 1 species
CUACGGGCGGCUGCAGUGGGGAAUAUUGCACAAUGGGCGCAAGCCUGAUGCAGCCAUGCCGCGUGUAUGAAGAAGGCCUUCGGGUUGUAAAGUACUUUCAGCGGGGAGGAAGGGAGUAAAGUUAAUACCUUUGCUCAUUGACGUUACCCGCAGAAGAAGCACCGGCUAACUCUGUGCCAGCAGCCGCGGUAAUACGGAGGGUGCAAGCGGUAAUCGGAAUUACUGGGCGUAAAGCGCACGCAGGCGGUUUGUUAAGUCAGAUGUGAAAUCCCCGGGCUCAACCUGGGAACUGCAUCUGAUACUGGCAAGCUUGAGUCUCGUAGAGGGGGGUAGAAUUCCAGGUGUAGCGGUGAUAUGCGUAGAGAUCUGGAGGAAUACCGGUGGCGAAGGCGGCCCCCUGGACGAAGACUGACGCUCAGGUGCGAAAGCGUGGGGAGCAAACAGGAUUAGAUACCCCCGUAGUC